rnacentral:ncRNA from 1 species
UGCCGGGUGGUGGCCGAAUACAAGACCCUUCGGGGGAAUACGCCAGCAGCUCCUAGCUGUGUUUACCACCCGGCAUUUUGCUU